GACGAACGCUGGCGGCGUGCCUAAUACAUGCAAGUAGGACGCAGUUGCGAACGGGUGAGUAACGCGUAGGUAACUGCCUAUUAGAGGGGGAUAACUAUUGGAAACGAUAGCUAAUACCGCAUACUAGUAGAUGGACCUGCGUUGUAUUAGCUAGUAGGUAGGGUAAUGGCCUACCUAGGAAACGAUACAUAGCCGACCUGGGGGGGUGAUCGGCCAACCUGGGACCGGGGAACGGCCCAGACUCCUAAGGGAGGCAGCAGUAGGGAAUCUUCGGCAAUGGGGGGAAACCUUACCGAGCAACGCCGCGUGAGUGAAGAAGGUUUUCGGGUCGUAAAGCUCUGUUGUUAAGGAAGCGGUACUUAACCAGAAAGGGACGGCUAACUACGUGCCAGCCGCCGCGGUAAUAC
rnacentral:rRNA from 1 species